rnacentral:tRNA from 1 species
UCCUUGGUGGUCCAGUGGUUAGGACUCUGCACUUUCACUGUCAAGGGUCUGGGUUCAAUCCCCAGUCAGGUAA